UGAACGCUGGCGGCAUGCUUUACACAUGCAAGUCGAACGGCAGCGCGGGCUUCGGCCUGGCGGCGAGUGGCGAACGGGUGAGUAAUGCAUCGGAACGUGCCCAGUAGUGGGGGAUAGCCCGGCGAAAGCCGGAUUAAUACCGCAUACGACCUGAGGGUGAAAGCGGGGGACCGAAAGGCCUCGCGCUAUUGGAGCGGCCGGUGUCGGAUUAGCUAGUUGGUGGGGUAAAGGCUUACCAAGGCGACGAUCCGUAGCUGGUCUGAGAGGACGACCAGCCACACUGGGACUGAGACACGGCCCAGACUCCUACGGGAGGCAGCAGUGGGGAAUUUUGGACAAUGGGGGCAACCCUGAUCCAGCCAUGCCGCGUGCGGGAAGAAGGCCUUCGGGUUGUAAACCGCUUUUGUUCGGGAAGAAAUCCUCUGGGCUAAUACCCCGGGGGGAUGACGGUACCGGAAGAAUAAGCACCGGCUAACUACGUG
rnacentral:rRNA from 1 species